rnacentral:rRNA from 1 species
UACGUAGGAGACGAGCGUUGUCCGGAAUCACUGGGCGUAAAGCGCGUGUAGGCGGAUCGGCAAGUCUGCUGUGAAAGCUCCUGGCUUAACCGGGAGUGGUCGGUGGAAACUGCCAGUCUGGAGGACGGUAGAGGUAGGUAGAAUUCCCGGUGUAGUGGUGAAAUGCGUAGAGAUCGGGAGGAACACGGUGGCGAAGGCGGUUCUCUGGGCCUGUACUGACGCUGGAGGAGCGAAAGCGUGGGGAGCGAACAGG